UUUCUUUAUGAAUUAGGGUCAGCACAGCUCCAGAAAAUAACAAUACAGUGAUGAAAAAAACACAGAUGUGGACCCCAACCUUACAGAAACUGUAUUGUGGCUGGUGAAAAUAACAAUAAAAUAAUAAACAUAGCUAAUGCUCAGUGAGCAAGUAUAUAUUCUAGGUAACUCUUUUCACAUGAUACCCCCUGGAUUUACCACAACUCUAGUUAUAUUAGUAAUAUUUAUCACCUUUAUCUUAUAGGUGAAGAUAACAUAGAUAAGAGGGGUUAUAUAUGUUGCCUAACUGCAUAAUCAGUAAGUGGUGGGACAGAUUAUAGCCAAGAAUUAGUAAAUGAGCAAAUAGAUCAUCAAUAUGAAGAAACAUGGUAUGGAAAAAGUAUGGAAAUUGGGGAAACCUCUCUGAACAGGUAUAUUUGAGUGAUUUGUGCAUUUGUAGCAACCACCCAUAUCAGGGCUGGGAUAAAAGUAUGCUUUAUAGAUCUAAUAAUAAGUAUGAAGAUUUGAGGCCAAAAAGAGCUUGAUGUGAGGAACCAAAAGGAGGUCAGUGGAGUUGGAGCAUGCGCAAGAGGGAGAAUGGUAGAAAUGAAACUGGAGAUCCAGCAAUGCAUGACAAAGGCACAGUGGAAUAAGAGAGGGCAGUUAGGAGGUUAUUGCAAGAAGCCACUUAGGGAAUCAUGGCUUAGAAUAGAUAGGGGCAGUGGUGACGUCCAGAAGUGGAUGGAUUUGAAAUAUCUUCUGGAGGUCGAUCAAUAGUACUUCUAAUGAACUUGACAAGAGGUUAAAAAGAAGUACUCAAAGAUAAUUCAUAGUGCAAAUGUGUAAGACUAUCUGAACAUAAGCCUGUUCUAUGACUUUGAGUUUAGCCUUAGUCAUUUGGAUUAAUAUGAUGGGAAAGAAGUUGAAAUCUAGUGGGGGUUAACAAGGGCAUUAACAUUUUUUAAACAGUUAUGGGACAGACAUUUCACAGAUGGCUUCUCUUUUAUUGUCAUAGCACUCCUCAUUCAUUCAACAAAUAUUUGAAUGCCCAAAAAAAUCCCAGCUACUGAAGGUGCAGGAAAAACACAAAAAGCUCAGAUCUCCGCUCUCAUGAAGUUUACCAACUGGAUGCUGAUAACAACAUUCUCAAUCAGGAAUGAAGAAGUGUGUCUAACACUCUGGAAAACACACCUCCCAACUGCCAAAGUGCCUGAAUUUUAUGGAAAACAGAGAGAUUUUCUUUGCUGUCAAGUUUUCUGCCUCUCACUUCCUCCCACAGCUGUGUGUUUGAAUAUUCAGCAGCAGGGUUGGAGGGAGGAGUCAAUUAUUUUUGGUGGGCGACUCUACCUGCACUUUUCCCUUGGUGGUGGAAGCAAACCAAGUGUCAGUAAAAAACAGAGAUUACUGAGA